UACGAACCGUCCAAACGUUAUUCGGAUUCAUUGGGCUUAAAGGGUACGUAGGCGGCGCUAUCAGUCGGGUGUGAAAGCCCUCGGCUCAACCGAGGAACUGCGCCCGAUACUGCAGUGCUUGAGGGAGACAGAGGUAAGCGGAACUGAUGGUGGAGCGGUGAAAUGCGUUGAUAUCAUCAGGAACACCGGUGGCGAAAGCGGCUUACUGGGUCUUUUCUGACGCUGAGGUACGAAAGCUAGGGGAGCGAACGGG
rnacentral:rRNA from 1 species